GACGUAGGGCGCGAGCGUUGUCCGGAUCUAUUGGGCGUAAAGAGCUCGUAGGCGGCUUGUCGCGUCGACUGUGAAAUCCCGCGGCUCAACUGCGGGUCUGCAGUCGAUACGGGCAGGCUAGAGUUCGGUAGGGGAGACUGGAAUUCCUGGUGUAGCGGUGAAAUGCGCAGAUAUCAGGAGGAACACCGGUGGCGAAGGCGGGUCUCUGGGCCGGUACCGACGCUGAGGAGCGAAAGCGUGGGGAGCGAACAGG
rnacentral:rRNA from 1 species